GUCGAACGCUGGCGGCGCGCCUAACACAUGCAAGUCGAACGAGAGAGAAGGAGCUUGCUUCUUCGAUCGAGUGGCGAACGGGUGAGUAACGCGUGAGGAACCUGCCUCAAAGAGGGGGACAACAGUUGGAAACGACUGCUAAUACCGCAUAAGCCCACGGGUCGGCAUCGACCUGAGGGAAAAGGAGCAAUCCGCUUUGAGAUGGCCUCGCGUCCGAUUAGCUAGUUGGUGAGGUAACGGCCCACCAAGGCGACGAUCGGUAGCCGGACUGAGAGGUUGAACGGCCACAUUGGGACUGAGACACGGCCCAGACUCCUACGGGAGGCAGCAGUGGGGAAUAUUGCACAAUGGGGAAACCCUGAUGCAGCGACGCCGCGUGGAGGAAGAAGGUCUUCGGAUUGUAAACUCCUGUUGUUGAGGAAGAUAAUGACGGUACUCAACAAGGAAGUGACGGCUAACUACGUGCCAGCAGCCGCGGUAAAACGUAGGUCACAAGCGUUGUCCGGAAUUACUGGGUGUAAAGGGAGCGCAGGCGGGAAGACAAGUUGGAAGUGAAAUCUAUGGGCUCAACCCAUAAACUGCUUUCAAAACUGUUUUUCUUGAGUAGUGCAGAGGUAGGCGGAAUUCCCGGUGUAGCGGUGGAAUGCGUAGAUAUCGGGAGGAACACCAGUGGCGAAGGCGGCCUACUGGGCACCAACUGACGCUGAGGCUCGAAAGUGUGGGUAGCAAACAGGAUUAGAUACCCUGGUAGUCCACACCGUAAACGAUGAUUACUAGGUGUUGGAGGAUUGACCCCUUCAGUGCCGCAGUUAACACAAUAAGUAAUCCACCUGGGGAGUACGACCGCAAGGUUGAAACUCAAAGGAAUUGACGGGGGCCCGCACAAGCAGUGGAGUAUGUGGUUUAAUUCGACGCAACGCGAAGAACCUUACCAAGUCUUGACAUCCCUUGACGAACAUAGAAAUAUGUUUUCUCUUCGGAGCAAGGAGACAGGUGGUGCAUGGUUGUCGUCAGCUCGUGUCGUGAGAUGUUGGGUUAAGUCCCGCAACGAGCGCAACCCUUAUGGUCAGUUACUACGCAAGAGGACUCUGGCCAGACUGUCGUUGACAAAACGGAGGAAGGUGGGGAUGACGUCAAAUCAUCAUGCCCUUUAUGACUUGGGCUACACACGUACUACAAUGGCGUUAAACAAAGAGAAGCGAGACCGCGAGGUGGAGCAAAACUCAGAAACAACGUCCCAGUUCGGACUGCAGGCUGCAACUCGCCUGCACGAAGUCGGAAUUGCUAGUAAUCGUGGAUCAGCAUGCCACGGUGAAUACGUUCCCGGGCCUUGUACACACCGCCCG
rnacentral:rRNA from 1 species